CUGCCAUGUGGCAUAUGAAGAAAUAGGUUCCACAAAAGAAUUCUUCUAUUGAAUGUAUGCUUCUUAUUUAUGGUCUUGGAUAAAUAAAAGUUGUCAAAUAACUAGAUUUUCUUCCUUUCUCACAAAGGAAUUGUCUACUGACAUUUUGUUUUCUCUUUUUGAAGGUCCUGGAGAGCCUUAACAGCUGAAAAUGUGUAUAUUAUGAGGAAAUUUAUGGACAUCUGAACUGCUGAAAUUUAAACAGAUUCAAAGAAAGAAGAACCUGACAGAAUCAGUGUUACAUUUCAGGAACUACCAGUCACUUGUCCAGAGGAAGAAUUAGAAUGAUAUUCAGAGUGUUUGGAAACAGAGGCAAAAGGGCAAGAGGUGUCCACAAUUACAAAAUUACAGUAAGUACACAAAUUGAUGACCGUAUUAAAGUUUAUUAUAUUAUCUUAUGGGUACUUAACUGAAGCAGUAUUUAGGAAGCCGUAUUUAGAAUGCACUUCAAGGAACUAGAGUUUAGGAACUAUGAACAAAAAACUAGAACCAUGACCUAAAGAACCACAGUGAACUUUUUAAGGCAUAAGCAGUGUAAGAGAAGCCAAGCCUUGCUUCAUGGAAAAGGAAGAAUGGAUUGAAGAGAUGAGAAGAACACAAUGAAACACAUCAGAUAGAAAACCUGGGGUAGCCUAGUGGGGUGAUCUGAAUGAAAGGAAAUGAAAAUUGAACUUGAUAGAAAAGGCAAAGAUGAAGCAGAGUAGGAGGAAAGAAAGGAAAGCAAGGAAAGAAAGAAUAAGAAAUUGCAUCAAAUCGCAUUCCUUUAUUCUGUUAUUGCAUGUUUUGUAGAGUUUCAUAAAAUUAGUUGCAGAACUGGAAAGGGCAUAGAAAUUACUUGGAAAAUUGAAAUGUGUGCUGUUAUAGUCUUCAAAAUUCACAAAUCAAUGAGUUAUGAUAUUAUUUUUUUUGUAUUGUACAUUUUUUUUCACGUUAGCCAUUCAACAUUUUUUAAUACACCUACCUUGAAUUUUUCUGUUCUGUUUCAUAGUAUGUUUUAUAGGUGGUGGUGUAGCUCUCUAUGUUAAAAGAGACUAUGAAUGUGUGGAAAUUAAUAAUGUUGAUGAUAGGGUUGAGAUCAUGUGGAUCAGAAUAAAAGCAAAGGCCAACAAGACUGACGCUAUUAUGGGAUUCUGCUACAGGCUACCCACCCAGGAUGAAGAGGUGGACGAGAGGCUUUAUAAACAGUUGGGUGAGGUCUCUAGGUCACUCCCCCUUGAUCUGGUGGGGGACUUCAACUUCCC
ensembl:lncRNA